UUUUAUGAAGCACCAAAGCCCACACAGAGUAGUCUUCAUUGGGACAGAGCUCAGAUAUCAGCCCUACGCUAAACGCUUACUGCAACGUGACCAUUGGAAAAGCAUGUGCAGGCUCCCUGCCCCAUAUUACUUCUGUAGAAAAUGAGAAUUCCUAGCAUGUGGCUACAGGCAAGGAAUUGUAAAAUGUAUAUUGUCUAUCUGCUCUUCAUUAUGAUGCCUAAACAGCCAAUAAGAAGGAAGUCUGGGAGUAACUUCCUAGGAAGCAAGAGCUUUGAUUUCAGAGUUACCUAUUCUACAAACCACUUCAUCACCUGAUAUACUAUCAAUGAUCAUGGCUACAUGUAUAACUGGAAGAAGCGUAUAGUAAUAGUGGCUGCACAAAUCCCAUCGAGAAUCCAUAAUUAGGAACGUUUGGCUUAGAGUGCUGGGCUAACCCUAAGCUGAACAAAAUUUACAUUGAUUACUCCUGCCUCAGUGUACAAAUUUCAAAUAUUCAGAACUAUAAGCUCAGCACAUAAAAGGGAAUUAAACAUUCAGUAGCAGUAGCCUAAUGCAUUUUAAUCUUCUGACAGUACUAACUCAAAUGCACAAAAACAAGAAUGCUAGAUAAAAUUGUUCAAAAUAAAAAGAUGAUGGAUGGAUCCAUUGCUGUUUGAGGUAUCUGGAACAAGGAAAUCAGGUGAAAAGGAACAUCGUACUUUUUAUUUUGCUAAUAUGUGUAUAUUGACACUUUCUAGAAGUGGUUUGCUAGGACACUUCUUCAAAUAAGUUAUCUGGAUGUUAAAUAUAACCUUUUCUAGGAAAAACAAAACACUUCAGUUUGGCAUAGAGCCCAGACUGAGUGGUACACCUGAACACACUGAUGUCUACAUACCUUUAAAUUGUAUUGGAAGAGGUUCUGGAGUUAAACAGGGACUGGUUAAAUCAGCAUUGCACUGAUAUUGCAUUUUAUGAAAGCAUAGGUGAUGGAACCUUUUUCUGCGUUCAUUUCGACUGGUUGUCUACAUUUCUUGCUCCAAAGGGUUUUAUGCCUAUGUAGGCUUUCUAUUGUGAUUUGUUGCACAUUCUUGUG